GUGCUCACUUCUGUAGUACAUAUACUAAAAUUGGAGUCAUACAGAGAAGAUUAGAAUGGCGCCUGCUCCAUAAUGACACACAAAUUCAUGAAGCAGUAUAUAUUUUU